rnacentral:rRNA from 1 species
AACGAACGCUGGCGGCAUGCCUAACACAUGCAAGUCGAACGAGACCUUCGGGUCUAGUGGCGCACGGGUUCGUAACGCGUGGGAACCUGCCCUUAGGUUCGGAAUAACUCCCCGAAAGGGGUGCUAAUACCGGAUAAUGUCUUCGGACCAAAGAUUUAUCGCCUUUGGAUGGGCCCGCGUUGGAUUAGCUAGUUGGUAGGGUAAAAGCCUACCAAGGCGACGAUCCAUAGCUGGUCUGAGAGGAUGAUCAGCCACACUGGGACUGAGACACGGCCCAGACUCCUACGGGAGGCAGCAGUGGGGAAUAUUGGACAAUGGGAGAAAGCCUGAUCCAGCAAUGCCGCGUGAGUGAUGAAGGCCUUAUGGUUGUAAAGCUCUUUUACCCGGGAUGAUAAUGACAGUACCGGGAGAAUAAGCUCCGGCUAACUCCGUG